rnacentral:tRNA from 1 species
AUCUCUUGAGUAUGAUUAGUACAGUUGCCUUCCAAGCAGAAAGAUUAAAUAAAUUAAAGGAGAU